rnacentral:rRNA from 1 species
GACGAACGCUGGCGGCGUGCUUAACACAUGCAAGUCGAACGAUGAAGCGGUGCUUGCACCGUGGAUUAGUGGCGAACGGGUGAGUAAUACGUGAGUGACCUACCUUUGACUCUGGGAUAAGCCUGGGAAACUGGGUCUAAUACCGGAUACGACCAAUCUCUGCAUGGGGUGUUGGUGGAAAGCGUUAUGGAGUGGUAUUAGAUGGGCUCACGGCCUAUCAGCUUGUUGGUGAGGUAAUGGCUUACCAAGGCGACGACGGGUAGCCGGCCUGAGAGGGUGACCGGCCACACUGGGACUGAGAGACGGCCCAGACUCCUACGUUAGGCAACAGUGGGGAAUAUUGCACAAUCGGCGCAAGCCUGAGGCAGCGACGCCGCGUGAGUGAUGACGGCCUUCGGGGUGUAAACCUCUGUUAGCAUCGAAGAAGCGAAAGUGACGGUAGGUGCAGAGAAAGCGCCGGCUAACUACGUG